AGGCUCUCCAUCUUCAAGAGCUACAUAGGCAGCAGAAAGAAGAAGCUGAUGGAUAUCUAUGGUGUCAUCCACUUAUAUGCGAGCAAAAGAGAGGACAGCAGCAGAAUAUAGUUCUACUUUUGUAACUAAUCGAGGACCAUUCAUGCUGAUGAAGAUGGAAAGUUAAAGGCAGAAGACAUUGCCACCUGAUGAUAACACUGAAGUUCUGGGAUGCAACAGUCAUGCAAUCUACUAUCAUGCCCCUAACCUGAGGUCCUAUAUCUGUCCUAUUUUUAAAAGCUAAUCUAGCUAUUGGUAGUCAGAGGAAUGCUGCCACUGGUCCUGGAAGCUGAAUGUAGUCUGUAGCAUUUUGGACUUGUUUUCUGUUGCCCUGGAGACUAGGACUUGGAGCAAUGGGUUCAAAUUACAGGAAAGGAAAUUCCACUGGAACAUUUGGAAGAACUUCCUGACUGUACGAGCUGUUCAACACCCUCAGAGUGUAGUGGAAACUCCUUUGGAGGCUUUUAAACAGAGAUUGGAUGGCCAUCUUUCAGAGGUGCUUUGAUUGUGCUUUUCCUCAUGGCAGGGGGUUGGACGAGAUGAUGCAUGUGGUCUCUUCCAACUUUAUUAUUCUAUGAUUCUAUGAUUCUCCUAGGAGCAAUCUGAAUUAUGCUAUUGUAACACCACCUCCAUUGAUCCGCCUAGAUCUGUGCCUGGGACAAGUAUUUCAAAUGCUUCCACAGUUUACAUGAAUUGGAAUUUUGGUUUGUUUGUUUACAGCUCUAAAAAUGGUAGUUCAAACAAGUCACUUUUCCAAGCUAUGCUCUUCAGCCAUUAAUUUUGUUUAGUAAUGCUCUUAUUAAACAUUAAAAGGGCUCUUUGGUAAUGUGUAGAGUCCCGCAUCUCAGGUGUGACUGGUGGGAACGAGAGAGAGGGCCUUCUCGGCGGUGGCUCCUCAGCUCUGGAAUGUGCCUCCUAAAGACAUCAGAAUGGAUCCCUCCCUGCUAUCCUUCAAAAGGCAAGUGAAAGUUUUUCUCUGGAAGGAAACUUUUAGAGAAGACAAUGGGUAACCUGUUAAAUGGCUAUUGGAUUCAACUAUGGCAAUGAGAUGGAUUGGCAAUGAAUUGGCUUUUAAUAUAAUUGGUUUUAAUGUCAUCUAAUACUGUUUAACAUGUUUAUUAUGUAUAGUUCUUUUAAUGUUUGUGUUCUCCCAUUUUUAUCCAUUUUGUUUGAGUAUUUGAACGGUAUUGAGUUGCUGCCGAAUGAUAGCCGCUCUGAGUCUC